rnacentral:rRNA from 1 species
AACACAUGCAAGUCGAGGGGUAACGGAAGUAGCUUGCUACUAGACGACGACCGGCGCACGGGUGAGUAACGCGUAUGUAAUCUGCCUUGUACAGAGGGAUAGCCCAGAGAAAUUUGGAUUAAUACCUCAUAGUAUUACUGGAUCGCAUGAUUUGGUAAUUAAAGCUCCGGCGGUACAAGAUGAACAUGCGUGACAUUAGCUAGUUGGUAAGGUAACGGCUUACCAAGGCUACGAUGUCUAGGGGUUCUGAGAGGAUGAUCCCCCACACUGGUACUGAGACACGGACCAGACUCCUACGGGAGGCAGCAGUGAGGAAUAUUGGUCAAUGGACGCAAGUCUGAACCAGCCAUCCCGCGUGAAGGAUGACUGCCCUAUGGGUUGUAAACUUCUUUUAUAUGCAAAUAAACCUACUUUCGUGAAAGUAGCUGAAGGUAGCAUAUGAAUAAACACCGGCUAACUCCGUGCCAGCAGCCGCGGUAAUAC